rnacentral:rRNA from 1 species
AUGAGAGAGGCAAAAAUUCCUACCAAUGUUCUCCAGGUGGGCUUACCCAAUACACAUAAAGUUAACGAGGAGGCACUAAGGCGGGGUAUGGUAGCACAAGGUUUGGUUACAGACAUCAAAGCUUUUCCAGAAAGGCUGUAUGCUUUUGUGGAGUUUGCAACCAUUGAAGGAGCUUCUAAUGCUAAGAAUCUUCUAGAUGGGCGUCUUUUCAAUAAUACAAGGAUUCAUGUUCUUUUCUCCAGCAGUGGGCUUUAUAACAUAACAUCGCUUGUUGAGUUCCCUAGAUCGGAGAUGUACAAUGAUAGUCCACAUGCCGCAUGUGAUUAUUUGGGUGCUGGUCGCAGUAGUCAUGGCACAUCACAAGGGUAUGAUCCUCGACGUGGAAGGUCAAGAUAA